UUGUAUAGUGGACGGGGAGUGACACACCAGCGCUAUAUGAACUAAGCAGACUGGGGGUAAGUGGAUGAAAUACUGCAAGAUAGGUGGCGAAGCUAGUGCCUAUUCUACGAACGACUGGCGGAC
ncrna:unclassified sequences Betaproteobacteria-1 RNA